AAUUUAUCUAAAAAAUAAAUUCAACCAGUGUUCUCUGAGAAAUAUAGGCUAAUCGAUUUGUAUCAGAAAGGUAUUUUCAAAACGUAAGGAGAAAAUGUGUGUAAUUUGCAGUUUGAGCCUCUGUUGGAUUGGUUACAUGGGUGGGUCGAGGUGACGCUCCUUGGAGCCACGAAUACGUCGCAAAGAGACCCGCCCGCUUUCUACUCUGUUAUGGGCAUCCGUCGUGACAGAAUACCAUCGGACUGUAAACAUGGCGGCGUGCACAGCUAGAAGUCUGUGCAAUAUACCACCCUACUAAGUCUAUAGGAUAAAACAAUCAAUUAUGGAGACUGAAGAGGAGCAACAUAUGACAACGCUUCUCUGCAUGGGCUUUCCGGACCCUGUUGCUAUUAGGAAAGCCUUGCGUUUAGCCAAAAAUGACAUUAACGAAGCUGUUGCACUCCUCACCAACGAAAGCCCCGGGCUCGGGUAUGGAUAUGAGCCGAUGGAAAGUGGGCCUGCGCCCGGGUCGGGGCCCGGUGGAGACAGCGAGAAUACUACUCGAACUGGGACUGGAGGGUUUGAUCCUCCACCUGCUUAUCAUGAUGUCGUGGAGAGUGAGAGGACUAGCGAUGAGAAUGGAAACUGCUCUGGAGGGAACAUGGAGUUCCCCACCACCAACCUGUACGAGCUGGAGAGUCGAGUGUUCACUGACCACUGGUCCAUCCCUUACAAGCGGGAGGAGUCGCUGGGCAAGUGCCUCAUCGCCUCCACGUGCCUGGCCAGACUCGGCCUCGCUGAUGCAGAUGAGAACUGCAAGAGGUUCAUAGAGCGCUGCAUGCCUGAGGCCUUUAAAAAGUUGCUGACCUCGAGUGCUGUGCAUAAGUGGGGGACGGAGAUCCACGAGGGCAUCUACAACAUGCUGAUGCUGCUGGUGGAGCUGGUGGCCGAGCGGGUCAAGCAGGACCCCAUCCCCGUGGGCCUAAUGGGCGUGCUCACCAUGGCCUUUAACCCUGAUAACGAGUACCACUUCAAGAACCGCAUGAAGGCCUGCCAGCGCAACUGGGCCGAGGUGUUUGGGGAGGACAACAUGUUUGCUGUCUCGCCCACCUCCAGCUACCAGAAGGAGCCUCAUGGCUGGCUGGUGGACCUUGUGAAUCGGUUUGGCGAGAUGGGGGGAUUCACUGCUAUCCAGGGCAAGCUGAACAUGGAUGAGAUUGAGAUCGGGAGUGUGUCGGCCCUGGUCCAGCCGCUGAGUGUGUGUGCUGAGUAUCUCAACUCCAGUCUCGUCCAGCCAAUGCUGGACCCUGUUAUUCACAAGAUGAUCACCUACGUGCAGAAUCUGGAGGAGAAAGACCUCAAAGAUAAGCGUCUGGUGAGCAUCCCAGAGCUCCUGUCUGCGAUCAAGCUGCUGUGCAUGCGUUUCCAGCGGGAACUUGUCACUGUGGUGGACGACCUCAGGCUGGACAUCCUGCUGAGGAUGCUCAAGACUCCACACUUCAGUGCCAAGAUGAACUCCCUCAAAGAGGUGACCAAGCUGAUCGAGGAAAGCACCGUGUCCAAGACGGUGAAGAACGCCAUCGACACGGACCGGCUGUUGGAUUGGUUGGUAGAGAACUCUGUUCUCUCAAUAGCCCUGGAAGGGAAUAUUGACCAGGCGCAGUACUGUGAUCGGAUAAAGGGAAUCAUUGAGCUUCUGGGCAGUAAGCUCUCUCUGGACGAGUUGUCGAAGAUCUGGAGAAUACAGGCUGGCCAGUCCUCCACUGUCAUUGAAAACAUUCACACUAUCAUCGCUGCAGCUGCUGUCAAGUUUAACUUUGACCAGCUUAGCCACCUUUUUGUUCUCAUUCAGAAGAGCUGGGAGGUAGAGAGCGAUCGUGUUCGGCAGAAGCUGUUGAGUUUGAUCGGAAGGAUCGGUCGAGAGGCUCGCUCCGAGGCCACGACUGGCAAGGUGCUUGAGGUGCUGUGGGAGUUGGCCCAUCUGCCCACUCUGCCCACUAGUCUGGUGCAGCAGGCCCUGGAGGAGCACCUGACCAUCCUGAGCGAUGCCUACGCUGUCAAGGAGACCAUCAAGAGGAACUACAUCAUCAAGUGCAUCGAGGACAUCAAGAAGAUACAUAUGCUGGACGAACCAAAGUCUUCAAACGAGACACAGGUCUCGUUUCUUACUGGCUCCUGGGGCAAGAAGAAACCCAGCUCACUGGCCAAAUCCUCCCAGCAGAGCAACCCUCAGGCCGUGUGGGUGGUGCCUGCCCUGCGGCAGCUCCAUGAGAUCACCCGCUCCUUCAUUAAACAGACCUACCAGAAGCAGGAUAAGAGCAUCAUCCAGGACCUGAAGAAGAACUUUGAGAUCGUGAAGCUGAUCACCAGCAGCCUGGUGUCGUGCCAUCGCCUGGCUGUGUCCGUGUCCGGCACCAACGGCCUAUCGGGCUCCACGCUCGUAGAUGGGAGAUACUCCUACCAGGAGUAUCUUGAGGCCCAUCUGAAGUUCCUGGCCUUCUUCCUGCAGGAGGCCAGCCUCUACCUGGUCUGGAACAGGGCCAAGGAGGUGUGGGAGUGCCUGGUGUCCGGCAUGGACGUAUGCGAGAUGGACCGGGAGAUGUGCUUUGAGUGGUUCACCAAGGGCCAGCACGAUCUGGAAAGUGACGUCCAGCAGCAGCUUUUCAAAGAGAAGAUCCUCAAACUCGAGCCUUAUGAGAUUACUAUGAACGGUUUUAACCUUUUUAAGACCUUCUUUGAGAAUGUGAACCUCUGUGACCAUCGACUGAAACGGCAGGGAACCCAGCUGUGCGUGGAGCGGCUGGACUUGGCCGGCAUGGACUUCAUUUGGCGCAUCGCCAUGGAGUCUCCCGACGAGGAGAUCGCCAACGAGGCCAUCCAGCUCAUCAUCACCUACAGCUACAUCAACCUCAACCCCAAAAUGAAGAAGGACUCUGUGUCUUUGCAUAAGAAGUUUAUUGCAGAUUGUUACAAAAGAUUGGAGGCCGCCAGCUCUGCCCUGGGGGGCCCCACCCUCACCCACGCUGUUACCAGGGCAACCAAGAUGCUGACAGCCACCGCCAUGCCAACUGUUGCCACAUCUGUGCAAUCCCCUUCCAGGUCAACCAAACUGGUGAUUAUCGAGAGGCUGUUGUUACUGGCAGAGAGAUAUGUCAUUACUAUAGAGGACUUGUACUCGGUUCCUCGGACCAUUCUACCUCACGGUGCCUCCUUCCACGGCCACCCCGUGUCCCUCCACGUUACCUACGAAUCUACCAAAGACACUUUCACUCUGGAGGCUCACAGCAAUGAGACCAUCGGCAGCAUCAGGUGGAAGAUUGCAGAGCAGCUCAGCUGUCCGGUGGACAAUGUCCAGAUCUUUGCCAAUGAUAGCAUGCUGACAAUGAACCGGGACCAGAAGCUCCUGAACCAGCUGGGCUUCUCUGACGAGCAGAGUCUGACGGUGAAGAGCUCAGGGACGGGCACACCUUCAGGCAGCUCAGCGGACAGCUCGGCCUCGGUCAGCAGCAGCAGCAGUGGGGUGUUCAACUCGGCUUAUGCCCUCGAGCAGGAGAAGUCCCUGCCAGGCGUGGUGAUGGCCCUAGUGUGUAACGUCUUUGAGAUGCUCUACCAGCUGGCCAACCUGGAGGAGCCCAGGAUCACACUGCGAGUGCGGAAGUUGUUGCUGCUCAUCCCCACGGACCCCGAGGUGCAGGAUGCCCUCGACAACUUUGUGCCAAAAGAGUCCAGCGUCUGGAGUCACCAGAAAACGCUCUUCACGUUGGGCUCGGGCUCCCAGGCCUCCAAGUCUCCGUCUCUGUCCAGCAAGCAGCAGCACCAGCAGAGUGCCGCGUCCAUCCUGGAAUCACUCUUCCGCUCCUCCGCACCGGGCAUGUCCACCUUCAGAGUGCUCUACAACCUGGAGGUGUUGAGCUCAAAACUGAUGCCCACGUCUGAUGACGAGAUGGCCAAGACCAGUGUGAAGUCUUUCUGCGAGAACUUCCUCAAAGCAGGAGGCCUGAGCCUGGUGGUAAACGUCAUGCAGCGAGACUCCAUUCCCUCAGAAGUGGACUAUGAGACCAGGCAGGGCGUCUACUCCAUAUGUCUGCAAUUGGCCAGGUUCCUGCUGGUAGGGCAGACCAUGCCCAGUAUCCUGGAUGAGGAAUUCAGCAAGGAUGGCCUGGACACGCUGUCGUCACGGCCAUUCCGCAAUGCGGGGCGACAGGGCAGCCGGCAGCUGUCUCUGUGCGGGACGCCCGAGAAGUCGUCCUACCGGCAGAUGAGCAUGUCAGACCGCUCGUCCAUCCGCGUGGAGGAGAUCAUCCCCGCCGCCCGCGUCGCCAUACAGACGAUGGAGGUUGGGGACUUCACGUCCACAGUGGCCUGCUUCAUGCGACUGACCUGGGCAGCGGCUGCCGGCCGAUUGGACCUGGUGGGCAGCAGCCAGCCAAUCAAAGAGAGCACCAACUCCCUCUUCCCCCUGGGAGUGCGCAGCAGGGUCAGCAGCACAGGCAGUAACUGCAGCUCUGGCAGCGAGGGCGAGGCCACCACACUGCAGGCGGGCAUCUGUGUGAAGCAGCUGUGCGUGUCCAUCAAAGACACCAUCAUCGCCCGCGAGGCCCUCUCUCUGCUCGUCACCUGCCUGCAGCUGCGCAGCCAGCAACUCUCGUCUUUUUAUAACUUGCCAAGUGUGAGUGAUUUCAUCAUAGACAUCCUGCUGGGAUCACCUAGUGGAGAGAUCCGGCGUGUGGCCUGCGACCAGCUGUACACCCUGAGCCAGACGGACGCGUCGGCCUACCCGGAGCUGCAGAAGCCCAACCUGUUCCUGCUGAAGGUGGUGCUGUCCGCCCAGCUACCCCUUUGGUCCCCCACCAGCAUCAUGAGAGGCAUCAACCAGAGGUUUCUCUCUCAGUGCACUGAAUAUUUUGACUUGAGAUGCCAACUCCUUGACGACCUGACCACCACGGAGAUGGAGCAGCUACAGAUCAGCCCAGCGGCCAUGCUGGAGGACGAGAUCAGCUGGCUGGACAACUUCGAGCCCACGUGGACCGCCGAGCUGGAAACCAGCGAGGCCGACAACAUCCUGCUGGCUGGACACCUCCGCCUCAUCAAGACCCUCCUCUCGCUCUGCGGCAACGAGAAGGAGCAGCUGGGCUCCUCCCUCAUCCAGCAGCUGUUGGACGACUUCCUGUUCCGAGCGUCCCGCAUCAUCCUGAACAGCAGCGACCCCUCCAGCUCCUCGGCUCCUAGCCACGACUUCCACCCAAAUAUGGCAGGACAUGGACUUGGCAUGAAACCAAAGCAGUUCCCAUGGUGCAGCACUGUGAGCAGUCGCCUGGCAGCGUACGAGGUUCUAGUGAUGUUGGCCGACAGCUCCCUCACCAACCUGCAGCUCAUCACCCGUGAGCUGCUCUCCAUGCACCACCAGUCUGACCCCUCGCUCAGCAAGGAGUUUGACUACCUGCCUCCUGUAGAGAGUCGCUCUGUGUCGGGCUUUGUGGGCCUGAAGAACGGCGGGGCCACCUGCUACAUGAACGCCGUUUUCCAGCAGCUCUACAUGCAGCCAGGCCUUCCCGAGGCUUUCCUAUCAAUCGAGGACGACACCGAGAACCCGGAGGAGAGUGUGUUCUGUCAGGUCCAGUCUCUGUUUGGGCAUCUGAUGGAGAGCAAACUGCAGUACUACGUCCCAGAAAACUUCUGGAAGAUAUUUAAGAUGUGGAAUAAGGAGCUGUAUGUGCGUGAGCAGCAGGAUGCCUACGAGUUCUUCACCAGUCUGGUGGACCAGCUGGACGAACACCUGAAGAAAAUUGGACGGGAACAGAUCUUCAAGAACACUUUCCAGGGCAUUUUCUCCGACCAGAAGAUCUGCAAAGACUGUCCACACAGGUAUGAGCGGGAGGAGACAUUCAUGGCGCUGAACCUGGGGGUGACGUCCUGCCAGAGCCUGGAGAUCUCCCUGGACCAGUUUGUCAGGGGAGAGGUGCUAGAGGGCAGCAACGCCUACUACUGCGAGAAGUGCAAGGAGAAGAGAACCACAGUGAAGCGCACCUGCAUCAAGUCCCUGCCCAGUGUGCUGGUCAUCCACCUGAUGCGGUUCGGCUUCGACUGGGAAAGCGGACGCUCCAUCAAAUACGACGAGCAGAUUCGGUUCCCCUGGGUGUUGAACAUGGAGCCGUACACAGUGUCCGGCAUGGCCCGGCAAGACUCUAGCGCCGACCACGGCGAGAACGGCCGCGGCGGCGAGGCCUCGGGCGGCUCCUCCCCCCGGAAGAAGGUCACCAUCUCGGAGAACUACGAGCUUGUGGGCGUGGUGGUGCACAGUGGCCAGGCCCACGCCGGACACUACUACUCUUUCAUCAAGGACCGCCGGGGCUGUGCUCGAGGGCGCUGGUACAAGUUCAACGAUAACGUGGUGGAGGAGUUUGACAUGAAUGAUGAGACCCUGGAGUACGAGUGCUUUGGAGGAGAGUACAGGCCCAAAGUGUAUGACCAGUCUAACCCGUACCCGGACGUGCGGAGGCGAUACUGGAACGCCUACAUGCUCUUCUACCAGCGCAUCUCCGACCAGAACUCCCCGGUGUUGCCCAAGAAGAGCCGGGUCAGCGUCAUGAGACAGGAAGCCGAGGAUCUCACCCUGUCGGCCCCCUCCUCCCCUGAGAUCUCCCCCCAGUCCUCCCCACGGCCCCCCAGGGCCAACAACGACCGGCUGACCCUCCUGACACGCCUGGUGAGGAAAGGCGAGAAGAAGGGCCUGUUUGUGGAGAAGAUGCCCGCUUGGAUCUACCAGAUGGUGAGGGACGAGAACCUGCGCUUCAUGAAGAACCGAGACGUGUACAACCCAGACUACUUCAACUUCACCCUCUCCCUCGCCUCAGUCAAUGCUACCAAGCUGAAGCACCCCUCUUACCAGGCCAUGGCCACGGGCAGUCUGCAGCUGGCCGUCCACUUCCUCUUCCACACCUACCUGCGCACCAAAAAGAAACUCCGGGUGGACACUGAGGAGUGGAUUGCCACGGUGGAGGUGCUGCUGUCCAAGAGCAGCGAGGCGUGCCAGUGGAUGGCGCAGUACCUGGUGGGGCCCGAGGGCCGCGAGAUCAUCAAGAUCUGUCUGCUGGAGUGUAGUGUGCGGGAGGUGCGUGUGGUGGUGGCCAACCUCCUGGAGAAGACUCUAGAGAGCGCCCUGCACUUCCAGGACCCCGGCCUUGACUGCCUGCUGGACGCGCUCCUCUCCCUCCUGGACAAGGACGUGCCCGAAAACUGCAAGAACUGCUCGCAGUACUUCUCCCUCUUUAGCAGCUUCGCCCAGAGGGGCGGGGAACCUUGUCAGCUGCUGCUGAAGCAUGCUGCCUACCGCCGCAUGCUCAUCUUCUUGCUGGGACCCAACCGCCAGAACAACCAGAACCGGCGCUGGAGCUCGGCCCAGGCCCGCGAGUUCCUGCACCUGCACAACACGCUAGCCAUGGUGGUGCUGCACACGGACCUGGGUUCCCACAGAACCGAGGCUCCAGGUGUAUACAAGUAUACCUCAUCCAGUAGCCCCUGUUCUGCCCCACUCCUUCCCCUCCACCCAGACAUCAACACUCUGCUCUUCAAACCUGAGGGACAGCCAUACCUGCUGGAGGUGAUGUUUGCCAUGCGGGAGCUGUCAGGUCCCCUGACUUUCCUCAUCGACAUGAUCACGUAUAGCUGCUUCUGUAAUGAGCCUUUCUCUCUGGGAGUGCUGCAGCUGCUUAAGAACCAGCUGGAGACUGCUCCUCCACACGAGCUCAAGAACGUCUUCCAAAUGCUUCAGGAGAUCCUGAUGGUGGAGGAUCCAUUGCAGGCCAGAAGACUGAAGUUUGCAUUUGAAUCUGACAAGGGGUUGCUGGCACUGAUGCACCAGAGCAACAAUGUAGAUAGCAGUCGCUGCUACCAGUGUGUCAAGUUCCUGGUUACCUUGGCCCAGAAGUGCGCUCCAGCAAAAGACUAUUUUAAGGAGUUGUCUGGUCACUGGAGCUGGGCGGUUCAGUGGUUACAGAAAAAGAUGUCUGAGCAUUACUGGACCCCUCAAAGUAACGUCUCCAAUGAGACCUCCACUGCCAAAACCUUCCAGCGCACCAUCUCUGCACAGGACACGCUGGCCUAUGCCACAGCCCUCCUGAAUGAGAAGGAGCAGUCAGGAAGCAGUAACGGCUCCGAUGGCAGCCCAGCCAAUGAGAACUCAGACCGUAGCCUCAGACAGGGCUCCGAGUCUCCCAUGAUGUUGGGUGACUCCAAGAGUGACCUAGAGGACGUCGACCCCUAACCGCUUUUCUCAGCGUUCAGGGGUGUGAUUUAUUUUUUCGAAAGCAAAAAAAAAAAGAAAAGAAAAGAAGCAUAAACAAUCCCUCCAAUGGAGAGACAUUGUGGCUUCAAGCAGCCAAUCAAAAGACUGUGUUUGACCUCCUGCAGCAGACAGAUUAAAAAAAUAAAUAAUGGAGGAAGCAGACAAAGCGAGACAGCCAAUCAGAACACUGAACUUCUGUUGCCCCAGUGAUGCUGGAAACGUUUUCGACCCAAGGCGGUCAACACCAACAGACACCAUUCUGUUCUGGAUUAGAUUAAUCACCAAUCACUAUAUCUGACCAUUUGUGGGCUACAACAUUGUUGAUUUUUUUUUUCCUCAAGCAAAAAGUGUUUAGUAGAACACCAAUGAAAUCAGCUCUUAUUGCUUAUUUUGCCCUUUUAAUAUCUCACACUAGAACUACAGGAUGAAAACAGGGGCUUCUUUUAAAAAAAAAAAAAAAACUAAAAAAAAAAACAAAUCGGCAAGUGUGCACAUUUGCCAAUGUAAUUAAACAGAUACUAUUCACGAUAAUGUAAAGAUAUGUCACAGGGGAAAUUUCAAAUGUAAAAAAAUAAUAAUAUUUUUUAAAGUAUCCUAACGCUCCUUUGAGUGUUUGUUCAAAAUUGAUGAGGUGCUGCUUAGUUCCUUUCAAUGCGAGGGGGAACUUAACUGGUGUCUUUCGAAAGUCCAACAAUAUAGCAAAGCAUUUUUUUUUUUUUCUUCUUUUUCAACCUGGUAUUUGUUUAAUGCACUUUAUGGUCAAAGGAAGGCAGUGAAUAGGAAUGGAAGGUCACUGUAAUCGAGACACAUACAUAUAUUUUUCUUUCUUUCUUUUCUUCUGUACUGGUCGCAGUGUGGUUUCAGAGCUCUUGCCAGUUUCUCUGCCUAGUUUGGUUUUAGCCCCACUGAGAGAGAGCAGCAGACGUUUCACAGCCUCAGCCCACCUGCACACCUGUGUACCUGCCCGAGUACCCAAACAACACCACCGACACAGCACACCAAAAAUCAACCUUGCUAUCCCAGGAUUCCACAUGUCACAUACUGUAGCAUACAAACGAAGUGGCCAAACAGUGAGUGGACAGCCUUGGAGAUUGAGUGCCAUGCAAGCACUGCAGCUGCUUGCAAUCAGAGAGAGGAAAAAUCCCAACAAUCUAGACUAUCCUGAGACUGGAGGAAGUAAUGACGUUAUGAUCCCUUUUUCCACUACAUAUUCCCACCUAUACUGGAGCUCGAAGAGUUGGAUAGAACUUUCCAGAAUGACGAGCAGCGACAUGGACUUCCGCUGGACUGACUGACAUUUUUCCUUGAGUUUGAUGUUUCUUUUUUGAGUUCCGGAUGGCUUGAUUCAGUUAUUGAAGGGAUUUUCUUUUCCUUUGUUGCUUUCUUUUUUUGUUCCUAUGCCUUACACUGCCCGUGGAAAGGAAGAGGGCUGGCAUUUCUCAUGCUUUGCAUUAGCUUGGUCAAAGCCAGUCAAGUUGCUCAGAGCGCCUCUUUAAGGAGAUAUGAAACAUAGAGGCCAGUUGAAGUACCCAUCAUCCCUCACUUCCCACAGGACAAAAACCACAUAUUCACUCUUGAGUCGCUCUUCAGCUGGAUUUCUUUUGGGUUAUUUCUGGCCUAAUGACAAUGUUCCCCCUCUCCAUGCAGCACAACACACAUACACACACACACACACACACACACACACACACACCGACACGCAGAUACACAAAGAAAGAGCUGCUUUUGAUACCGUGCUUAAUGACCUCGUGUUGAAAUCUUUGACAUCAACAGGCCUCUUACUUCAGUUCUCUCGUCUUACAGGGCUUUUCCAUAGCCAAUUUAGAGUGAAGCGUUUGGUUUUAGGAGGACAAGUGGUAGUCAUAUCAGAGGUCACAAGUGUGCAUACUCAUGCACACACACACACAAUCACACUCACACACGUACUGCCAUAAGCUUUAACUUUUUUAUAUCAUUCAGGGGUGGUGGAUUUGCCAUUUGCCAACUGUUUUUGUUUUGUUUUGUUUUUGGGUGUUUUUUGCAGUUUACUUGAUGCUUAUUCUGUCUUUUUUCUUUUGUUUGUUUUUUUCCCCCUUCUUUUUUUAUUGUUUGUUUGUUUUUGUCUGCCUUAUUCUGCGCAGUAAAGAGAGGGAGAGGGUGGAAAAGGCGUUCACCCGGACUGCUGUCCACCGAGCCCUCAAGUGCCUUUA